rnacentral:ncRNA from 2 species
UUCUUAUCCAGAGAGGUGGAGGGACUGGCCCUUUGAAACCUCGGCAACGGAUUCUAUUAAGUUAGAACACCGUGCCAAUUCCUUCAAGCUUCGGCUUGAAAGAUGAGAA